rnacentral:rRNA from 1 species
AUUGAACGCUGGCGGCAUGCCUUACACAUGCAAGUCGAACGGCAUCGCGGGAAAGCUUGCUUUCCUGGCGGCGAGUGGCGAACGGGUGAGUAACACAUCGGAACGUACCGGCUAGUGGGGGAUAACCCAUCGAAAGACGGGCUAAUACCGCAUACGCUCUUCGGAGGAAAGCAGGGGACCUUUGGGCCUUGCGCUAGUCGAGCGGCCGAUGUCCGAUUAGCUAGUUGGUGGGGUAAAGGCCUACCAAGGCGACGAUCGGUAGCGGGUCUGAGAGGACGAUCCGCCACACUGGGACUGAGACACGGCCCAGACUCCUACGGGAGGCAGCAGUGGGGAAUCUUGGACAAUGGGGGCAACCCUGAUCCAGCAAUGCCGCGUGGGUGAAGAAGGCCUUCGGGUUGUAAAGCCCUUUCGGCAGGGAAGAAAUCGGCGGGGCGAAUAACCCUGCUGGAUGACGGUACCUGCAGAAGAAGCACCGGCUAACUACGUG